CCUUUGACGUUAGCGGCGGACGGGUGAGUAACACGUGGGUAACCUACCUAUAAGACUGGGAUAACUUCGGGAAACCGGAGCUAAUACCGGAUAAUAUUUCGAACCGCAUGGUUCGAUAGUGAAAGGUGGUUUUGCUAUCACUUAUAGAUGGACCCGCGCCGUAUUAGCUAGUUGGUAAGGUAACGGCUUACCAAGGCGACGAUACGUAGCCGACCUGAGAGGGUGAUCGGCCACACUGGGAACUGAGACACGGUCCAGACUCCUACGGGAGGCAGCAGGC
rnacentral:rRNA from 1 species